rnacentral:rRNA from 1 species
AUGGUGGAGAAGGUCUCGUGGCACUGCCUAUACUUUGGACCGCGUAUUGUGUUUGGUCUUUGGGGCCUCAACAAGGUGCAGCUACAAUCGGCAGAAAGACAAGGAGAGCCAUCGUCGCUGUGCAUUUAUGCUUGUGCGUUCUCUGGCUUUUUUCGCGCUCAGGCAGGCCACUUUAAGCAGGAGAUCGAGAAACAUAUGGUUGCUGCUUUCUCUGGUUUAGAGCUUCAUCUCACAGCGAGGGGGCAUGCUUUUGGAGCGUUAGUGUUUCAUCUUCUUAGAAUGAAUCGAAUUCGUACUGCUACACGGAGGCUUAAGGUCGUCCUAGAGAGAUCAACGUUCAAAGAAGUAUGCCCGCCAUACUGUCCUUGUGAGUCAAACUGGAGGUCCCAGACUAUAUCCUUGGAUGCUCUCGAAGAAGUGGAGUUCAAUGAAUUCGACGGAGCAGAUCAUGAGUUUGAUUUAUUGGAAUUGAUACUUGGAUGUGCACCGACACUAAAAAGAAUGAUUGUCAAGCUGUCCGAGGAGACCUCGGCAAGUAAUGAUGGAUGCGCAAAGAUAGACAACAUCUUCAAGGCAUGGUCCUCUGUGGAAUGUGAUGUUUAUCACAGCUCUGGGUUAAUGCACGGCAGCCAAAAUUGCCCGUCGACAUGA